rnacentral:rRNA from 1 species
UACGGAGGGUGCAAACGUUGCUCGGAAUUAUUGGGCGUAAAGAGCUCGUAGGCGGCUUGUCACGUCGGGUGUGAAAGCCCGGGGCUUAACCCCGGGUCUGCAUUCGAUACGGGCUAGCUAGAGUGUGGUAGGGGAGAUCGGAAUUCCUGGUGUAGCGGUGAAAUGCGCAGAUAUCAGGAGGAACACCGGUGGCGAAGGCGGAUCUCUGGGCCAUUACUGACGCUGAGGAGCGAAAGCGUGGGGAGCGAACAGG